rnacentral:rRNA from 1 species
ACGGAGGUGGCAAGCGUUACUCGGAAUUAUUGGGUGUAAAGGGCAGGUAGGUGGUCUUGCAAGUGAGAGGUGAAAUCCCACGGUUCAAUCGUGGAACUGCCUUUCAAACUGCUUGACUUGAGAAUGUUAGGGGAGAAUGGAAUUCCCGGUGUAAGGGUGAAAUCUGUAGAUAUCGGGAAGAACACCAACAGCGAAGGCAAUUCUCUGGGACAUUUCUGACACUGAACUGCGAAAGCUAGGGGAGCAAACAGAAUUAGAUACUCUGGUAGUCCUAGCCGUAAACGAUGAAUACUAGGUGUUGGUCCUUUCGGGGAUCAGUGCCGAAGCUAACGCAUUAAGUAUUCCACCUGGGGACUACGAUCGCAAGGUUA